CACGGGGGGAGCAAGCGUUGUUCGGAAUUACUGGGCGUAAAGCGCACGUAGGCGGCUUUGUAAGUUAGAGGUGAAAGCCCGGGGCUCAACUCCGGAAUUGCCUUUAAGACUGCAUCGCUAGAAUUGUGGAGAGGUAAGUGGAAUUCCGAGUGUAGAGGUGAAAUUCGUAGAUAUUCGGAAGAACACCAGUGGCGAAGGCGACUUACUGGACACAUAUUGACGCUGAGGUGCGAAAGCGUGGGGAGCAAACAGG
rnacentral:rRNA from 1 species